rnacentral:rRNA from 1 species
AUUGAACGCUGGCGGCAGGCCUAACACAUGCAAGUCGAACGAGUGGCGGACGGGUGAGUAAUGCUUGGGAAUCUGGCUGAUGGAGGGGGAUAACUACGGGAAACUGUAGCUAAUACCGCGUACCAUAGGAUGAGCCCAAGUGGGAUUAGGUAGUGGGUGGGGUAAAGGCUCACCAAGCCGACGAUCUCUAGCUGGUCUGAGAGGAUGACCAGCCACACUGGGACUGAGACACGGCCCAGACUCCUACGGGAGGCAGCAGUGGGGAAUAUUGCACAAUGGGGGCAACCCUGACGCAGCCAUGCCGCGUGUAUGAAGAAGGCCUUCGGGUUGUAAAGUACUUUCAGUCGGGAGGCGUUACCGACAGAAGAAGCACCGGCUAACUCCGUGCCAGCAGCCGCGGUAAUAC